GUGGCAUAAACAAAGUAUUCCCAUCGCCGCCACGUCACUUCGCCUGGCUCCCCACUCCCCAGCAGCUCGAGUGCCCCCAUCCCCCAUCGCCGGCGGACGGCGCCGACAGGAUAACGCGCUCACAGCUAGGCGCCGGCGCCAGCACCGGCACUGCAUACAAGUUCUGAGCGCUCUUGACCGGCCGCCGGCCUCCAUUGCUCCGGCUAGGUCGCAGGUAUAGCUCCAAGAAUAGGUGUUUUGUGGUGUCUGUUGAUGGCCAAUAGCGAGUAUGAGUAUGCAAAGAGCGAGUUCGAGUUCGACCGCCGCCUCCCAGCCUCCAACUGGAUGGUCAUCCACAUCGAUGGCUGCCAUUCCACCGUUUUGUUUUCAGAGAGGAAACAAAAUUCUUCAAAGACGAGAAAGAUAAAGAGUUGAGGGAGCCUCCCUAUUCUGAUGGGCGAGCUGUGUGCUAUCUAAAUAUAACCUCCGCCCCAAAUUACCUGUCUUAGAUUUAUCUAGAUACGGAUGUAUCUAACACUAUCAUAUCAAGACAAAUCUAAGACAAGUAAUUCGGGACGGGGGGAGUAUGAAGACCAUUUUUUAUUAUUUGGCCUGGAGGCAAGUGGACUGUAAGCAUCUCGAACUACAGUCAACAUUUUCCUAGUAUAAAUAACAAGAUUAUUGUAUUGUGCAAUAAUAUCAUGGCAUGUAUGUUACUCCCUCCGUCUGGAAAUACUUGUCAGAGAAAUGGAUAAAAAGGGAUGUAUGUCUAGAUACAUCCAUUUCUCCGACAAGUAUUUCCGGAUGGAGGGAGUAUUCGCCAAAAAUUGUAGAAACUCCAGCAACAUUGAAUAAACAUAAAUAUGGUGUAUGUAUGCGCCAUUCAAUAAGAUUUUUAUUUCUGGUUGCUCAGUUAGUUAGUUAGUUUCUUUAGUUUAUUGGGUACGGUUUAAACAUAUUUAAUUUUGGGUGUGCUUUCAGGUCGUAGAAAUAAUCAUUAUAAUACUAGAUGGUUCUGGAUGCUAGUGAAUUCUGGAAAAACUGAAAAGGAGGCCUAAUUACCUUAUCUUGUGUGUGAACCAUCUUGUUCUAGGGAAUAUUUGCGAAGGACAAGAACGUGUUGCUUUUGCAGCAGUUCCAGAUCAUCUAUUAUGAUGAACCAACUAUGUUCCGAAAAGGAUCCAGCAUUUACCGAGAUAAGGGGCUUCAAGAUCAACACAUAAUGAUGAACAGAUUUAUGGUAGUAACCAGUUUAGCCCAAGAAACCUUCAAGUUCAGUAGCCGAAGUUGUUAAGGGCCACUGUUCCAUUGCCAAUGUUUUCUUGAUCAGUUGCAACACCUUGAGCUGAGAUAAUAUAUUCCAAAUACUGAAUCCGAGUCUGUCCAAAAGAGCACUUUGACAUUUUGGCAAAGAAAUGAGUCUGACGCAAUGUUUCCAACACUAUACGCGGGUGCUGUAAAUGUUCAGGCCACAAGGCACUGUAAACCAAGAUGUCGUCGAGGAAGAUGAUGACAAACUUGCACAGAUAAGGGACCAAAUGGCAUUACUCAAAAGUGAAAAUGACCAUGAUGAGUUUUAAACGGCGUUUUCUCCUCGUCUUCAGGCUCAUACGUAUCUGAUGGUAACCAGCAUGUAAAUCCAACUUGGAGAAUUUUUCUCUGCCAGCUAGUUCGUCUAAGAGCUCAUCCACCACUGGUAAUGGAAACUUGUUCUUCACUGUGGCAGAGUUUAACCUGCGUAAUCCACACAAAACCGUCACAUGUCAUCCUUAUUUUUGACAAGUAAAACUGGUGCUGCAAAAGGACCCAUACUGUUCAUGAUGACUGCAGCAUCUCCGUUACCUGUCGCUCAAUCUCGUCUUUUUGCAACGGAGAGUAGCGGUAAGGUCUAGAAUUGGCAGGCCUAGCAUCCGGUUCCAAAGCAAUAGCAUGAUCUAGUGCUCUCCUUGUGGGCAAAGAGUUUAAUGUCAAAAACAUCUGCAAACUCAGUUAACAACUGUUGCAGAUCAGGGGAUACCCCAGGUUCAGUUAAGUAUUGUUGUUGUGUGACUGGAUCGAGAACAGCCAGAGUCCACACUUCAUUGCCUGGUAAUCCAUUUGCUGAGCUGCUCAUGAGAAAUUUCUUGCAAGGUGUCUUGUGAUUUGGUGUGCACGCCCCACAGACUAAUUUUUUGCCGUCGUAUUCGGAGGAUAUCGUCUUCAGCCCCCAACGACAAGACGUUGGAUUGAACUUCUGUCAAUUCCGAAUACAACAUCAUAAGCUCCAGCGCGGAGGCAGAGUACGGUAGUGUGGCCAACGCCGUGGCCGAGUGUGCUUCGACAACUCUUCGGCGAGCUCCGCUGUGCGGUCACCACUGCAACGCUGGUCUACUGCGACAACAUCUCCGUCGUGUACCUAUCCAGCAAUGCCAUUCACCACCACGGCACCAAGCAUGUCUAGCCGGGCAUCCACUUUGUCUGCGAGCACGUGGCUCUCGGUGAUUUUCGGGUUCUCCACGUCCCAACGCGGCAACAGUUCGCGACGUGAUGACCAAAGGGCUGCCGGCCGACGUGUUUCAUGAUUUUCGGUCUAGUCUUUGCUUCGACUGCGGGGGCGUUAAAUCCUUGUAUUCUGUACAUGAGUUUUGUAUGUAGCUAUACAGUAGGGUAGCAGUAGUGUACGUGUGUGUGCAGUUUUGUAGUCAGCACACACGACCUCCACCUCUCGAACAUGGCCUGACCACGAUCACCAUCGUGGGCUCACGCCCUCUGUUCCCCCUGUAUAAGUCUAACCUUGAUCAAUGCAAUCCGUGUGUUCGAUCUGUUAGAAAUAUAAUUGGGUUUAAGUUAGAAAUAAGGAGAUAGAGAUAGAAUUAGUUUAAACCACAUGUAACUUGUCUUGUACUUCAAGUCUCUAUCCCUUUUAUACUCCUAUAUAUACCCUACACAAGGGUCAGAUCAAUACAACACAAUAUUCAUUCAUCCUACAAUUUUCACAUGGUAUUAGAGCGGUUUGUCCAACGACGCUGAUCUAAAGACCUUCCACCACUUCCGCAGCUCGCCGCCCUCGGGAAGAUUAAUCUCCUCUCCCUGGGGCGGGGCACCCGAUCGUCAAAGAUGAGAUCGGUUCUAUAGAUUAGAUCGAUUCAUAGGUUAGAUUACACAAAUUUUGAAUUUCCAGUAGAUUAAUUUCCUGUAGCCACCAUCAAUAAAUCCCUCAACCUUCAAAUUCGGUGAGAAAGUUAUGUAGAAAUCCUCGUCCAGAUCACUUCAGGCCGCAUGCGCGGCUUAUACGGCCGCGACUCAAGGUGGCGCAGUCUCGGCACCUACAGAGACGGCUAUGGCGAGCUUGUCAUGGAGGUGGAUGCACACACGCGCAGUGCUCCAUCAACAGAUGCGCACGCAUGCGAUUCAUGCACUUGGCCAUGUGCAUGCGCAGCCUCCCAGGACGUGGGACACGAAGCAACCAGCAGCCCGAGGACUACGCCAACAACGAUCUGCACCGCGACGGCAAACUGCAUUGAGCGAUUGAACCAUCUGCAUCAAGCCCACAAAUUACGAUUUGCAUCGACUACACUGCACGCGCACGGACGCGAUCUCCACCAGGCCGACUCGAUCGACCUCCUGCGCGCCAACAAGCCGAACUACACCAAGCCGAACACAUCUACACCGAGCCGGCUUGCUGCAAUUGCAUCGACAUCUACACCACCGAUCGACACCUCUGCAUCGACCCUGUGCCACUUCAUCGACCUGUACGACUAGCCCGUCCGCGAGCCAACAUACUUCAUCGACCACACCUACGAGAAGCGACCUCAAUAUGCACUGUUCACACGCCAGGCUGGUGUGAAACGAGAUGCAAUUCUUCAUCGACUUCUUCAGCACGACACAACAUCAACACCCCGUCGCCACGAGGGACACCUCCAAGCGACGCAUCAUUGUCGGCAUGUCGCUGCACCACCGACACUUCAUCGCCAAAGUCUUCAUCAACAUGGUCUUCACCAACAUCAUCGUCCACACACCGCCACUGCCUCGUCCACAGGAUGGACAAUUAGCGUCCUCUGACAGAUUUUUUCUGCAAGACGCGACCACGACGACGGCAUCGACCGCGUCAUCCACGACAACAUGGCUGCAUCGACACGGCGUCACUACAGUGACGACCCUACACGGCCACACGGUUCUGGCAAAACCGAUGUGUGCUCGAUGGGCUUCCUCCGGUCUUGGCAAAACCGGCGGACUCAUCGCCGACGGCACCCUCUGACAUCUGCAAGGUGUAUCGUCCACGUCUGCAGCCCCGUCAUAGCGCAUUUUUUUUGCGCCUCCGGCUUUGUGCAGCUUCAUCAUCCACGACGACCACACCAUCGACCACGGCUACAUCACCCUGACCGGCUACCUCGACAUCGACCACACGGCUACGUCUAUAGCAACUCAUCGGCAACAACUCCAGUCAACAGCGUCCGCGUCGUCACUAGCGUCCACGUCACUUCCGUUGUGACUGCGGGAGGGAAUAGAGGAGAAGGCAUGAAGGCACCAGAAGGGGACGCAGUCACCACCCUAGGUGCCAACCCAUCAGAGACGCAGUUGAUGAUGGCGCAGUGGAGAAGACGACGAAAGCGCAAGACUUCAAAUCCAGUCGUACUCAUCCGCUUCACUCCCGCUACGACUGAGGGGGAAUGUUAGAAAUAUAAUUGGGUUUAAGUUAGAGAUAAGGAGAUAGAGAUAGAAUUAGUUUAAACCACAUGUAACUUGUCUUGUACUCCAAGUCUCCGUCCCUCUUGUAUUCCUAUAUAUAUACCCUACAUAAGGGUCAGAUCAAUACAACACAAUAUUCAUUCAUCCUAUAAUUUUCACACGAUCUCUUCUGCUCCCUCAAACAUUUCAUAUCUGCAAAAGCAUUGCCACAGGCUUCGGCAACCCGUGUGUGCCGCCGGGGGAAGUGGCGACGUGCACACGCAAGCCGAGCAGCGGAGUUGAAGCCUCCAGCCGGAGGCUGCCUGAUGCUGCGCGUAAUUGCUGGCCGGAGAUGGGAAGCGACGGCGGCUGACUGAUUAGGUGGACGAUGCUGCGAGUGGGCGGUGGCGCACGUCGACAUGAGGCCAGAGUUUUGGAGAAGGCAUCCUCGUGGUCGUGUCUUUCUUACCACGAACAGGUGAUCACUUAAGUACUAGGAGGAGCACUAGUUUUCAUCAUUGUCUCGAAGAAAACGUGACGGUUUAUUACGGCUGGAUAAUACUACAAG